GUUGCUGGGAGGGGCACCCAUGGGUGCUGAUCCCCCCCCGAUGUCCCCCAGGAACCAGGGGGGCUACGGCGAGCGCUUCCCCUCGGCCUCGUACCGGGACAACUAUGACAACUGAGCUUGGACCCUCGGUGCUGGAUUUCAGGGGGGGCCCCUCCUCCCCCGGGCCAUGGAUGGACGCCGAGGGGGGAGUGGGACAUGGUGGGGGGGGUGUGAAGGUGGGGAGAACCCUCAAUUUGUACUCCCCCGUGCCCUAUUAAAGGUCAGACCCUCUCCGA